rnacentral:rRNA from 1 species
GACGAACGCUGGCGGCGUGCUUAACACAUGCAAGUCGAACGGAAAGGCCCUGCUUUUGUGGGGUGCUCGAGUGGCGAACGGGUGAGUAACACGUGAGUAACCUGCCCUUGACUUUGGGAUAACUUCAGGAAACUGGGGCUAAUACCGGAUAGGAGCUCCUGCUGCAUGGUGGGGGUUGGAAAGUUUCGGCGGUUGGGGAUGGACUCGCGGCUUAUCAGCUUGUUGGUGGGGUAGUGGCUUACCAAGGCUUUGACGGGUAGCCGGCCUGAGAGGGUGACCGGCCACAUUGGGACUGAGAUACGGCCCAGACUCCUACGGGAGGCAGCAGUGGGGAAUAUUGCACAAUGGGCGGAAGCCUGAUGCAGCAACGCCGCGUGCGGGAUGACGGCCUUCGGGUUGUAAACCGCUUUCGCCAGUGACGAAGCGUGAGUGACGGUAAUGGGUAAAGAAGCACCGGCUAACUAC